GCAUUAAUGGGGUAGUGGUAACCUGGGUCGUUGCCAUUAACUUAAGGGUUCCGUUCGAUUUGGUUCGACCCGCCGGGGGUUCGAUUCCCUCUUAAUGCA